CACGUAGGGUGCGAGCGUUAAUCGGAAUUACUGGGCGUAAAGCGUGCGCAGGCGGUUUGGUAAGACAGAUGUGAAAUCCCCGGGCUUAACCUGGGAACUGCAUUUGUGACUGCCAGACUAGAGUGUAGCAGAGGGGGGUAGAAUUCCACGUGUAGCAGUGAAAUGCGUAGAGAUGUGGAGGAAUACCGAUGGCGAAGGCAGCCCCCUGGGCUAACACUGACGCUCAUGCACGAAAGCGUGGGGAGCAGACAGGAUUAGAUACCCUGGUAGUCCACGCCCUAAACGAUGUCAACUAGGUGUUGGGGAAGGAGACUUCUUUAGUACCGCAGCUAACGCGUGAAGUUGACCGCCUGGGGAGUACGGUCGCAAGAUUAAAACUCAAAGGAAUUGACGGGGACCCGCACAAGCGGUGGAUUAUGUGGAUUAAUUCGAUGCAACGCGAAAAACCUUACCUACCCUUGACAUGUCAGGAAGAUUCUAGAGAUGGGAUUGUGCCCGAAAGGGAACCUGAACACAGGUGCUGCAUGGCUGUCGUCAGCUCGUGUCGUGAGAUGUUGGGUUAAGUCCCGCAACGAGCGCAACCCUUGUCAUUAAUUGCCAUCAUUUAGUUGGGCACUUUAAUGAGACUGCCGGUGAUAAACCGGAGGAAGGUGGGGAUGACGUCAAGUCCUCAUGGCCCUUAUGGGUAGGGCUUCACACGUAAUACAAUGGUCGGUACAGAGGGUUGCCAACCCGCGAGGGGGAGCUAAUCUCAGAAAGCCGAUCGUAGUCCGGAUCGGAGUCUGCAACUCGACUCCGUGAAGUCGGAAUCGCUAGUAAUCGCGGAUCAGCAUGUCGCGGUGAAUACGUUCCCGGGUCU
rnacentral:rRNA from 1 species